AGCGAACGCUGGCGGCAGGCCUAACACAUGCAAGUCGAACGAACUCUUCGGAGUUAGUGGCGGACGGGUGAGUAACACGUGGGAACGUGCCUUUUGGUUCGGAAUAACUCAGGGAAACUUGUGCUAAUACCGAAUGUGCCCUUCGGGGGAAAGAUUUAUCGCCAUUAGAGCGGCCCGCGUCUGAUUAGCUAGUUGGUGAGGUAACGGCGCACCAAGGCGACGAUCAGUAGCUGGUCUGAGAGGAUGACCAGCCACACUGGGACUGAGACACGGCCCAGACUCCUACGGGAGGCAGCAGUGGGGAAUCUUGCGAAAUGGGCGAAAGCCUGACGCAGCCAUGCCGCGUGAAUGAUGAAGGUCUUAGGAUUGUAAAAUUCUUUCACCGGGGACGAUAAUGACGGUACCCGGAGAAGAAGCCCCGGCUAACUUCGUG
rnacentral:rRNA from 1 species